rnacentral:rRNA from 1 species
CCUGCCGGAGGCCAUUGCUAUUGGGAUCCGAUUUAGCCAUGCUAGUCGCACGAGUUCAGACUCGUGGUGAAUAGCUCAGUAACACGUGGCCAAACUACCCUUCGGAACACAAUACCCUCGGGAAACUGAGGCUAAUAGUGUAUACCAUACCACCACUGGAAUGAGUGGUAUGCCAAACGCUCCGGCGCCGAAGGAUGUGGCUGCGGCCGAUUAGGUAGACGGUGGGGUAACGGCCCACCGUGCCAAUAAUCGGUACGGGUCAUGAGAGUGAGAACCCGGAGACGGAAUCUGAGACAAGAUUCCGGGCCCUACGGGGCGCAGCAGGCGCGAAACCUUUACACUGCACGACAGUGCGAUAGGGGGAUCCCAAGUGCACAGGCAUAGCGCCUGUGCUUUUCGGUACCGUAAGGUGGUACCAGAAUAAGGGCUGGGCAAGACCGGUGCCAGCCGCCGCGGUAAUACCGGCAGCCCAAGUGAUGGCCGAUCUUAUUGGGCCUAAAGCGUCCGUAGCUGGCCGCGCAAGUCCAUCGGGAAAUCCACCUGCUCAACAGGUGGGCGCCCGGUAGAAACUGCGUGGCUUGGGACCGGAAGGCGCGACGGGUACGUCCGGGGUAGGAGUGAAAUCCCGUAAUCCUGGACGGACCGCCGAUGGCGAAAGCACGUCGCGAGAACGGAUCCGACAGUGAGGGACGAAAGCCAGGGUCUCGAACCGGAUUAGAUACCCGGGUAGUCCUGGCCGUAAACAAUGUCUGCUAGGUGUGGCUCCCACUACGAGUGGGUGCUGUGCCGUAGGGAAGCCGCUAAGCAGACCGCCUGGGAAGUACGUCCGCAAGGAUGAAACUUAAAGAAAUUGGCGGGGGAGCACUACAACCGGAGGAGCCUGCGGUUUAAUUGGACUCAACGCCGGACAUCUCACCAGCAUCGACUGUAAUAAUGACGACCAGGUUGAUGACCUUGUCCGAGUUUCAGAGAGGAGUGCAUGGCCGCCGUCAGCUCGUACGUGAGGCGUCUGUAAGUCAGGCACGAGCGAGACCCGCACCCUACUGCAGCAGUACCGCGAGUAGCUGGGACGUAGGGGACCGCCGUGCUAACACGGAGAGACGGGCACGUAGUCAGUAUGCUCGAAUGGUCUGGCAAACCGCGGCUACAUGUCGAGAAAAGUUCACUCGAAGGGAACGGUAAUCUCGAACUUCCAUCGUAGUUCGGAAAUGUUGGGGUGUAAACGCUCCA